GACCGGAAGCCGCUGUGCAUGGUGCUCACUUCCCCAGCCCAGCGACCCCGGCCCCGCCCCGGUUGCCCCGGCGACGAGGGGCCGUGCGGCGGCUGGAUCAUGGCGGCGUCUGUGGGGACGACUCCCGGGGGGACGACCCCCGCGGGGAUGACUCCGGCGGGAACCACGCCCGAGUCGGAGAAAGAUACUGAAUUCCAGGAGCAUGAAGGGAUUCUGUGUCCAGAUUUUCUUUCAGUUGCCCAGAUCACCGAAAUGCUAGCAGAGGAUAUAGAUGGAGUUCAACAGAAACUGGAAAAGUUUCUGAAUUUCAGAAAUCUUCAAACCUGUUUAAAGGAAGCCAGUCUACUAGAUUAUUAUGUAUCUGGAUUUUUGUGGGCAAGAGGAAUGGACUUUUCUAUUAUUCAGUAUUCAAAAUUUAUGACUUUACUGGAUAUGUUACUUCAUAAUCUUAAAACACUGCAUAUGUCCAUAGAAGACAGCAUAAAAUGGCUCAGAGAAGUUAUGGCUGAAAUAGGACCAUCCCAUUCACAAAAAAAUGAGGAAUGGAAUAUCUUUGAUGUAAAACAAGCCAAUGCUAUUGUUGAUUACUUGAAAGUCAGCUUAUUUCAACACUACAAGCUGUAUGAGUUUCUGUUCUUCUCUGCCAGGGAAGAAAUUGUGAUAGGAACUGAGGGGACUCAGGUUCGAUCCCUGGUCGGGGAACUAAGGUCCCACAUGCUGUGGGGAAACUAAGCCCACGCACCACAACUAGAGAGAAGCCCACGCACCUCAAUGAAGAGCCCGCGCGUUGCAAUGAAAGAUACCACAUGCCUCAGUGAGGAAUGUAACAGGCAUGAAGAUCAGAGCACUCAACUGGGUGUGUCUAUAGAUCAUCUGAGAUGGGAAGGCACAGAUUACGAUUGGAAUGUUGCCUUUAAACAUGAAAUCAGAGCAAGAGGAACCGUUUAGAUGCAUCAGAUGUUUAAUGCCAUCAGUACCCUCAUCUCCGCUCUCUCCCCCAAGUCAUGGUGAGAUGGACACCGUAUAAGACCAAGAUAAACGAAAAGCUGCAAAUACAGGAAGAGGCCUUUAAUGCACGAACAGAAAAAUUGAAAAAGGCCUGAGGGCUCCAAACAAGGAGAGUGAUGCUAAACUUCACAGAAACAAACAAAACCAGCCAGAAUAAUAGACUCUCUAGAGCACCAGAUCGCCUUCAUUUAGCUGGGAGAGGAAAAGCAAGCCCCAAUUUUUAUUAUCCUAACUAAUUAGAAAAGUAUUGGCCCCAAUCUUGCUACCUCCUGUCCCAUAACAGCCUCUGAAUUUAUUACACUGUGUGCAAUAAGAACAUUUUGUAUAUAAGAGUUUGGAGAAUUAUAUAUAAAAAUACAAUGACUUUUACAAUACUCCUUUGACAUUUUGACUAGUAAAUGUUAAUCAUCUUCACAACUUUUUAAAAUAAAGAAAAAACAUAAUAAUUUUAUCCACACUGACCCAAAUGAACUGCCACGUUGCUGAAGCUUUAUGAACAUAGACCACCACCACACUGCUGAGGAUAAAACUUGCUAAACAAUAGCAAUUCAAAUGCAUAUACUAGGGGUUUUUUUCCUCCUUAAAUCAGUUGGUUUUCUUAUUUAAAUGUUUCAGUGUGAAACCAAUUUUAUGAAAUUAUAUAAUGCAGUUUGAAGCACUUUAUUCUGUACUGUAUUUGUUAUUUCUAAUCUUGUUACUCUCCCAGGAGAAUACAUGACCUAUAUAAAAAGAAGCAAUGUAUAAAUGGUUAUUAAAGACCAACCUAUACAUAGAUUGUAAAAAUCUUAAAUACAAAUCAAACUCACAGAGCUCUUAAAAUUAACCAUUAUAUUGCAGUAGAAUGAUUGAAAACAUCUCAAGCCUUUAAAUACCUUUAUUAAAAUAUAAUUUCAAAAGAAAAUAUCCAUUUGCUGACUGAUUGUCCCUAGUUGGACAAACUAAAUUAACUACUACCUUGGCCCUUUCCCAAUUUCUGAGACUUCUGAGUAUUGUAGAGUGUAGAGCCUUGCUAGGAGGGCACCAUUCUUCCAAGAAGUUUCCAGUUUAUACUGGAACCAGAUGUAUUUGCAUCUGGGUGGCACUUGGUCAAAUAUGUUCUGUCUGUGCUCUGGCCUUGUCCUAUAACCUUACCCACUUACUCUAUCUGUACCGAAGGGAUUUGCCCAAAAUGUAUUCAUCUGGGGCCGAGACAGAUCUGGCAGCGUGUGAUAUUUUUUUAACUACACUGAUCAUCAAAGUAAGAGAAGUCCUUAAGAUGAAACCGUGUUUACUGUUCAUGAAGUUCCGAGUCUGGAAAGCCGGGAGAUGCGCCGAUAUGUUUCUUCCUUGAGCUGUCCUUCCUAACUGAAAAUGCUGACGGCCAUAGGAGAUCACUAGGAGGGCUCACAAGUCUUGAUUUCGGCAGGCAGUCUUGUUCCAGAGAAAAUAGAGGCGAAACCAGAGAACCCACAAAUAGGGAAUAAAGGAGCUUCUCGAAAUCACCAAACACAGCUUCAAAUGCAAUCGUUGGCACAGAGUGGACCUCCAUUUCCAAUAAAGAAUUCUUAUUUUGAGCAAGGGUACCAAGAGUUUAAAACUGAAUAACAAAUAGCAGUAAGGUCCCUAAAAGCUGCACAAAGACAAUAUCCUAUAAGCGUGCCGAAAGCCUGCCUCUGGAGUAAGACUUCCAGGUAGCGUCACCUGACUUGUGUGUGACUUUGGACAGGCUGCUCACCCUCUACUUGCUCAUCUAUUAAAUGAGGAUAAUACUUAUUUUUGAGGUAGUCAUGAGAACUCAAUAA